GACGAACGCUGGCGGCGUGCCUAAUACAUGCAAGUUGAGCGCUGAAGGUUGGUACUUGUACCAACUGGAUGAGCAGCGAACGGGUGAGUAACGCGUGGGGAAUCUGCCUUUGAGCGGGGGACAACAUUUGGAAACGAAUGCUAAUACCGCAUAAAAACUUUAAACACAUGUUUUAAGUUUGAAAGAUGCAAUUACAUCACUCAAAGAUGAUCCCGCGUUGUAUUAGCUAGUUGGUGAGGUAAAGGCUCACCAAGGCGAUGAUACAUAGCCGACCUGAGAGGGUGAUCGGCCACAUUGGGACUGAGACACGGCCCAAACUCCUACGGGAGGCAGCAGUAGGGAAUCUUCGGCAAUGGACGAAAGUCUGACCGAGCAACGCCGCGUGAGUGAAGAAGGUUUUCGGAUCGUAAAACUCUGUUGGUAGAGAAGAACGUUGGUGAGAGUGGAAAGCUCAUCAAGUGACGGUAACUACCCAGAAGGGGACGGCUAACUACGUG
rnacentral:rRNA from 1 species